AGCAGCCGCGGUAAUUCCAGCUCCAAUAGCGUAUAUUAAAGUUGUUGCAGUUAAAAAGCUCGUAGUUGAAUUUCGGGAUUUGUCAGUUGGUCGGGCUUCACUGUCCGUACUGGCUUGAUGGAUUCUUACCUUCUGAAUAACCAGCAUGCUAUUAAGUUAGUGCGUUGGGGAAGCAGAUCCAUUACCUUGAAAAAUUGAGUGCUUAAAGCGGGCUUGUGCUUGAAUAGAUUAGCAUGGAAUAAUAAAAUAGGACGGCAUGGUUCUAUUUUGUUGGUUUCUAGGAUCACCGUAAUGAUUAAUAGGGAUAGUUGGGGGCAUUAGUAUUCAAUUGUCAGAGGUGAAAUUCUUGGAUUUAUUGAAGACUAACGUUCUGCGAAAGCAUUUGCCAAGGAUGUUUUCAUUAAUCAAGAACGAAAGUUAGGGGAUCGAAGACGAUCAGAUACCGUCGUAGUCUUAACCAUAAACUAUGCCGACUAGGAAUCGGACGAUGUUAAUUUAUAAUGACUCGUUCGGUA
rnacentral:rRNA from 1 species